UACGUAGGGACCAAGCGUUGUUCGGAUUUACUGGGCGUAAAGGGCGCGUAGGCGGCGUGACAAGUCACUUGUGAAAUCUCUGAGCUUAACUCAGAACGGCCAAGUGAAACUGUUGUGCUAGAGUGCAGAAGGGGCAAUCGGAAUUCUUGGUGUAGCGGUGAAAUGCGUAGAUAUCAAGAGGAACACCUGAGGUGAAGACGGGUUGCUGGGCUGACACUGACACUGAGGCGCGAAAGCGUGGGGAGCAAACAGG
rnacentral:rRNA from 1 species